rnacentral:rRNA from 1 species
AACGAACGCUGGCGGCAUGUCUAACACAUGCAAGUCGAACGAGAUCUUCGGGUCUAGUGGCGCACGGGUGCGUAACGCGUGGGAAUCUGCCCUUUGGUUCGGAAUAACAGUUGGAAACGACUGCUAAUACCGGAUGAUGACGAAAGUCCAAAGAUUUAUCGCCAGAGGAUGAGCCCGCGUAGGAUUAGCUAGUUGGUGUGGUAAAGGCGCACCAAGGCGACGAUCCUUAGCUGGUCUGAGAGGAUGAUCAGCCACACUGGGACUGAGACACGGCCCAGACUCCUACGGGAGGCAGCAGUGGGGAAUAUUGGACAAUGGGCGAAAGCCUGAUCCAGCAAUGCCGCGUGAGUGAUGAAGGCCUUAGGGUUGUAAAGCUCUUUUACCCGGGAUGAUAAUGACAGUACCGGGGGAAUAAGCUCCGGCUAACUACGUGCCAGCAGCCGCAGUAA